rnacentral:lncRNA from 1 species
UAAAUAUGUAUAAAUUAGUGAAUUGGAAGACGAUAAAAAAAAUUGAUUCUUUUAUUCUUUUGUAUUUUAGGAUUUUGAAAUCCUCACGUAGUAAGAGUCACUGAUACGGGGUUGAUUAAUUGAAUAUUCAACUUUCGAGAACUAAUUUAGGUUUAGAUGAAUGAAUAGGGGAAAUGCAAAACACGGUUUGCAUAGGCUUUCAUUUUUGUUUUAUUUUGUUGUUGAAACUAAUUAAAGAAGAAGUUAUCCACUUCAUCCAACUAAUUCUUGGAAUUAUUUUAUGUAGGACUCAAUUGUAUAAUUUACAAUUGGAUCUUAACAUCCGCCAUGCUCCACAACCCCAGCACCCAAGUAGGCUGGAUGUGCAAUAGCCCUUUCUCUAGUUUUAGGCAAUCACUAUGAUGUUGGCAUCACCACCCACAAAACCCUAUCUCUUUCUAAAAGUCCCUUUAAUUAGCAAUGAUCUCAAUAUUUUUAUUUUUAAUACAUCAUUUGGUCCUUAGUUUGAAGCUUUUUGUUCAAAGUCAUCAUAUCUUUUAAAAAAAUUCAGGAAAACCUUAUAUUUCGUUAAAAAUCGUUAAAAACGGUUCAAAAUGGUCCUUUUCACUUACGGUUUUAAAAACAUAACAGUACAAUUGCCCAUCUGGCCAAAAAAUAAAUGAGGUGUCUAGUUUUGUAAUACGUGGUAUGUUGAGGUCAAUUAAGAUAUAAAUUUUAAAAAUAAAAACUAAUGACAUGGAAAAAGUUUAACAUAGGGUUAAAUGAAAUCGUGGUUGUAUUGUUUUGCUACUGCUCAUGAAAUUGUUGUUGUGUGCCAUGACUAAUUGUAGGGUGGAGGAAGUGAAGAAGUUCCCUUCUCUUUCAUCGUGCCCAACAUGUACCUUUUCUUCACCUUCAUCAUCACCAUAAACCUUUAUUCUUUUAACAUAGACAUUCUCACAUCUCACCUGUACAAAUAGAAAAACAACAACCCAUUACCUUUUACUUCAUCCUGAACCCACAAUCAACACACCAUUCCAGCACCAUCAUUUUUCAAGUGCACAACAUACACAAUAACACUCUCG